CAUGGAGGGUGAGAAUCCCGUUCGGUUGACCUUAUGACGUUUUACGAUACGCUUUCAAAGAGUCGAGUUGUUUGGGAUUGCAGCUCAAAAUGGGAGGUAAAUUUCUCCUAAGGCUAAAUAUCGGCGAGAGACCGAUAGCGAACAAGUACCGUGAGGGAAAGAUGAAAAGAACUUUGAAAAGAGAGUAAAAUAGUACGUGAAAUUGUUGAAAGGGAAACGAUUGAAGUCAGUCGUACCGACGGAAAAUCAGCUCUUCGAGUGCGAACUUGUGGGCGUACGUGAGCUUUAACCGGCCUCGUUGUUUGCGAUGUUUGUGCUCUUUGGGUGUACUUUUUCGUAUGGUUGGCCAACGUCAGUCUCGGUUAUCAUAAAAUGAUUGGAGGAAUGUAGCUUCGAUCUUGUAUUGAAGUGUUAUAGCCUCUGGUAGAUGUGGUAAACGAAACUGAGGAUUGCAACGAAUACCCUUCGGGCUAUCCGUCUGACCUCUGAAAGUUGCUUGGGUGCCGAAAGCUUGCUUACGGUCAUCCAUGACGACGGUCAAAAGGUUAGAACGUGAUUAUAUUCGUUAAGGAUGUUGACGUAAUGG
rnacentral:rRNA from 1 species